CGACGUUGAUAGGCCGGGUGUGUAAGCGCAGCGAUGCGUUGGACUAAACGGUACUAAUGAACCGUGAGGCUUAACCUUACAACGCCGAAG
rnacentral:rRNA from 1 species